GGGAGCGGCGAACGGGUGAGUAACACGUUGGAACCUACCUCAGACUCAGGGAUAGCCCGCCGAAAGGCGGAUUAAUACCGGAUAGUCUCGUAAGAGUAAAGCUUUUGCGGUCUGAGAGGGGCCUGCGGUCUAUCAGCUUGUUGGUAGUGUAAUAGACUACCAAGGCUAUGACGGAUAUCUGGUGUGAGAGCAUGACCAGACACAAUGGAACUGAGACACGGUCCAUACUAC
rnacentral:rRNA from 1 species